rnacentral:rRNA from 1 species
CUCAUGAUUCUUAGGCAAAUCCGGGAAUCUCUAUGCCGAGCACCGAGACGAGUCCUAUGAGGACGAAGUGACUGACACCACGCUUCCAGGAAAAGCCACUAAGCUUCAGCUGUAGAAAAACCGUACCGCAAACCGACACAGGUAGGCAGGGUGAGAAUCCCAAGGCGCUUGAGAGAACUCGGGUGAAGGAACUAGGCAAAAUGGCACCGUAACUUCGGGAGAAGGUGCGCCUCUUGGUGUGGUCACGUGCGUGACUGAGCAUCGAGGGGUCGCAGUAACCUGGCCGCUGCGACUGUUUAUCAAAAACACAGCACUCUGCAAACACGAAAGUGGACGUAUAGGGUGUGACGCCUGCCCGGUGCUGGAAGGUUAAUUGAUGGGGUCAGCCGCAAGGCGAAGCUCUUGAUCGAAGCCCCAGUAAACGGCGGCCGUAACGAUAACGGUCCUAAGGUAGCGAAAUUCCUUGUCGGGUAAGUUCCGACCUGCACGAAUGGCGUAACGACAGCGGCGCUGUCUCCACCCGAGACUCAGUGAAAUUGAAAUCGCUGUGAAGAUGCAGCGUUCCCGCGGCAAGACGGAAAGACCCCGUGAACCUUUACUAUAGCUUUACACUGAACGUUGAGUUCUUCUGUGUAGGAUAGGUGGGAGGCUAUGAAACCAGGACGCUAGUUCUGGUGGAGCCAUCCUUGAAAUACCACCCUGAAGUGCUUGACGUUCUAACCUAGGUCCGUAAUCCGGAUCGGGGACCGUGUAUGGUGGGUAGUUUGACUGGGGCGGUCUCCUCCCAAAGAGUAACGGAGGAGCACGAAGGUACGCUCAGCGCGGUCGGACAUCGCGCACUGUGUGCAAAGGCAUAAGCGUGCUUGACUGCGAGAUCGACGGAUCAAGCAGGUACGAAAGUAGGUCUUAGUGAUCCGGUGGUUCUGUAUGGAAGGGCCAUCGCUCAACGGAUAAAAGGUACUCCGGGGAUAACAGGCUGAUACCGUCCAAGAGUUCAUAUCGACGGCGGUGUUUGGCACCUCGAUGUCGGCUCAUCACAUCCUGGGGCUGUAGCCGGUCCCAAGGGUAUGGCUGUUCGCCAUUUAAAGUGGUACGCGAGCUGGGUUCAGAACGUCGUGAGACAGUUCGGUCCCUAUCUGUCGUGGGCGUUGGAGAUUUGAGGGGGGCUGCUCCUAGUACGAGAGGACCGGAGUGGACGUUCCGCUGGUGUUCGGGUUGUCAUGCCCAUGGCAUUGCCCGGUAGCUACGAACGGAAGUGAUAACCGCUGAAAGCAUCUAAGCGGGAAGCACGCCCCAAGAUGAGAUCUCCCGAGAGCUUGACUCUCCUAAAGGCACCAUCAAGACUAGGUGGUUGAUAGGCACGGUGUGGAAGUGCAGCAAUGCAUUGAGCUUACGUGUACUAAUGAGCCGUGAGGCUUGACCG